GAGACUUCAACUUGAAGCAACUCACUCCUAACAGGUGCAAUUCUUGGUCUCCAUUGCACGUGCAAACCAUCUAAGUCUACUUUCCCUCUUAUUACGUAUUGCUCAUCCACUGAACAUGUUUUCCUUGACUGCCCAACAUUGUGUUCCAUAAAGCAUGGCUUGUCUUAUUUCUAUACUAUAAAAUCUCCCCUUGGAUUGGUAUACGGUGAUCACAAUGAACUCCAGAGGCACAUCUGCACUUUUUCCACCCAGCUUGAUGAGCAACAUCCUCAAUCUCUCCAUAUAAUUGAAUUAUCUAACAGGAUAUUGAAAAUGGUCGUUCAGGUAUUUGAUCAACAAUCUUAACUACUAUUUUUACUAAAAUUGCAUAUCUUAUACUCUGUUCAAGUCUAACUGAUUUGUUAAACCUUUAGAUUUUUCAUUUACCCUUGUUCAUCUCGUCAACAAAAAACCAACAAUAGAUGGGAUGAGAAGACAUUAAAAAAAAAUAUUUAAAAAUAAAAUAAAAUCCAAAA